CGGAACAUAGCUCAGUGGUAGAGCAGCUGGCUUAUAUCCAGCGUGUCGGUGGUUCGGUUCCAUCUGUUCCGA
rnacentral:tRNA from 2 species